rnacentral:rRNA from 1 species
CCUACGGGUGGCUGCAGUGAGGAAUAUUGGUCAAUGGGCGAAAGUCUGAACCAGCCAAGUCGCGUGAGGGAUGACUGCCCUAUGGUUUGUAAACUUCUUUUAUAAGGGAAUAAAGCGCGGGACGUGUGCCUUUUUGCAUGUACUUUAUGAAUAAGGAUCGGCUAACUCCGUGCCAGCAGCCGCGGUAAUACGGAGGAUCCGAGCGUUAUCCGGAUUUAUUGGGUUUAAAGGGUGCGUAGGCGGAUUUUUAAGUCAGUGGUGAAAGUUUGUGGCUCAACCGUAGAAUUGCCGUUGAAACUGGGAGGCUUGAGUACGGUAGAGGCGGGCGGAAUGCGUGGUGUAGCGGUGAAAUGCUUAGAUAUCACGAAGAACUCCGAUUGCGAAGGCAGCCCACUGGACUAUAACUGACACUGAGGCUCGAAAGCGUGGGGAUCAAACAGGAUUAGAUACCCUAGUAGUC